rnacentral:rRNA from 1 species
AACGAACGCUGGCGGCAGGCUUAACACAUGCAAGUCGAACGCCCCGCAAGGGGAGUGGCAGACGGGUGAGUAACGCGUGGGAAUCUACCCAUCUCUACGGAAUAACUCAGGGAAACUUGUGCUAAUACCGUAUACGCCCUUCGGGGGAAAGAUUUAUCGGAGAUGGAUGAGCCCGCGUUGGAUUAGCUAGUUGGUGGGGUAAAGGCCUACCAAGCCGACGAUCAGUAGCUGGUCUGAGAGGAUGAUCAGCCACAUUGGGACUGAGACACGGCCCAAACUCCUACGGGAGGCAGCAGUGGGGAAUAUUGGACAAUGGGGGCAACCCUGAUCCAGCCAUGCCGCGUGAGUGAUGAAGGCCUUAGGGUUGUAAAGCUCUUUCACCGGGGAAGAUAAUGACGGUACCCGGAGAAGAAGCCCCGGCUAACUUCGUGCCAGCAGCCGCGGUAAUAC